rnacentral:lncRNA from 1 species
UCUAGAAUUCGGCGGUAGGGUCUGAGACAACACCUCAGCUUAGAUCAGUGCCUUCUCUGAACAGCGUUCACUAAGCAGCCCCCAACCCCAAAACCCCCAAGUCCCCGGGCGCCGAGGACGCUGCGAGUCCUGCGCAUGCGCAAGGUUGCUCUCUCGCUCACCGCCUCCUUGGCGAAUGGCCUGUUCCAUUCUCGAGGGAUGCCGGCGGGAGAUGAUUGCAACAGGCUGCUGGAAAGAGUUUGGUGAACAAUCCACCGGGCAUCCUCCCCCCUUCACCUGCGCACGUUAGGGAGGGCCGGCGUGGCGCCCAGGUACGGA